UGAGGAACAUGACUUUCGGUGGGGGUAGCCGGCCCAACGGCCGGGUAAUACCGCGUACGACCUCUUGGGGACAUCCCCGGGUGAUGAAAGCAGCAAUGCGCCGAAAAGAGUGCCUCGCGGCCUAUCAGCUAGUUGGUGGGGUAAUGGCUCACCAAGGCGACGACGGGUAGCUGGU
rnacentral:rRNA from 1 species